AACAAAAUAGAAGAAUUCAAUUGAAUGACCGAGUGUUAAAUUAUUCAAGAAGUAAUUUAACUAUUGCGUAAAAUGUCAAGAGGCUAAGUGUUUUUAUUGUUGUUGCUACAUUUCAAAAGCAAUAGAAAAAGGAUACAAGUGGUGCCCAUCAAGAGAACAGCAAAUUGGACCCAAGGAAAGAGAACACUUUAAAACAUGGAUAUACCCAACACCGGAGCCAUUUUCACCUUGGGGAAAUCCUACUUGGCCGAAAAUACCCAAAGUUAUUUCUACAUAAAAAACGAUCCCAUAAAAAGGCUCAUCGCUGGUCCCUAUCAAAGUGCAGUGAUUUGUGAAUCAGGACGUUUAUUUGUAUGGGGUGAAAAUCACUAUGGACAACUGGGCAUAGGAGGUCACUUGUCCAAUGGCAGCAACCAACACAACAAUAAUAACAACAACAACAAUGGUGAUAUAAUUACAAAGCCGACAUGCGUAAAGUCUUUGAAAGUAUUGGGCCUGAAAGUGGCGGACAUAGCCUACGGCCACGAUUGGUCGGUGAUUUUGACAUUCUCCAAUGAGCUGUUCUUUACGGGCCGCAAUAUAUUCUCCAGCGAGAGCCCAGUCUCAUCCAAUUUCACCGAAGCAACAGUCAACGAGGAGCCAUGUGAAAUUAUACGCAAACCCUUCCGUUUGGAAGAGUUCGAUGACUGCUUGGCCGACAACGAGGAGGCCGAAAACUUUGUCAGUGUUCUGGCCGGCAAUGAACAUUUCGUUGUAUUGACCUCUUUUGGACGCCUUAUAGGCUGGGGCUCAAACCAAGCCAAUCAAUUGGGCAGCUCCGAUGAGGCUCUCUUGGCACCACAUGAAAUAGUUUUGGACUCUCCCAUACGGCAGUUUGCUUGUGGCCCCAAAUCAACGCUUGUGCUAACCGAAAAGGGAAACCUUUAUCUGACGGGUCAUUUAAAUGAAUUUGUGUUUACACAAUUCACCGAACUGCAGAAGAAUCUCUCGCCCAAUGAGCAGAUUGUGUUCGUCCACAUAUCGCAUGCGAGUGAAAUUUUCAUUGUUACCAAUGGUGGCAGCAUUUAUCGUAGCCUAGAGUCGCUGCGUAACAAAAGUCUCAUCUUUCAAAGGUUCUACGACUAUGACAGCGAAGAGAAUGGACCCAUUUGGAAAUUGCUCAAGGGCACCUCAUUCUAUGCGGUGCUCACCAAAGUGAAUAAGUUCUACACCACCUUCUCGGAGAGUGGCCAUCACUUGAAAACUUUUCGAGAAAUUUCAAAGUUCAAAAAUCUUCGCCUAUUGGAUAUGGCUUUGGGUGAUCAACAUGUACUGGUCCAUGGUUUGCCCAGAUCAUCGGCAUUGGCGGCCAGCAUGGGUCCUGCUGCAGAACACCUCCGAGUAAUGUCUCAAAGUACGAUAAUGGCCAAUACCACAGGUGGUCUAAUGGGUAGAAUGAAAAAUACCGCGACCACCUCGUUAGCAGAGGCAAAUCAAAAGAGCCCCCAGAUGAGUAGUGCAUUCAUGGAAGCCAUUCCUGAACGGCCAAAGACCAACACACCGGUACAUGAAACAAUAAGUGAGGGGGUGGAAGAUGUAGGAGAAACAGACGGCACACCCCAAAACGGAACUACAGACUCCAAUAAUAAUUUGGAGGAAGGGGGGAGCAACAAUAACCACAACCAUAAUAGUGCAGCCGCAGAUGCAGAUGCGCACCUAGAAAGUGAUCAUCUUGACAACUCUUCAAGCCGCGGAAAAUCACCUACGGAGUCCCUUAAGUCGCGCAAAAGCGUGAUUUCCUUGAAGAAAUCGCAAAACAACUCCCUGCGUCCACGCACUCCAUACCCAGAGGGCAGUAGUGCAAGUAGUUCUCCACAGACGGCAAUUAAAAAGACCCCAGUGCAAGACUCCUCCUACGCAAAAGCCCUUAACGAGGACAACAUCGACCAUACGUCGCCUAGGUUGGUGGGAAGUCUGGAAAAUAUCCCUGAAUCCAUUGUGGCUAAACCUGGACUAAGUGUAUCAACGCCCACACCACCCACCGAAGAUGACGAACAACUAACCGUGGAGAUUAGAGAGACCACUGACCCAUUGGACCACACUGUGACAAUUAACGAAAUACGUUUCAUCAACAACGGCAUUGAUGUCACGGCAAAUGUUAAAAAAGACCGACUGGACUCAGAAGACUCUGCAGACGAAACCGAUGACGAGGAGGACAGCAAAUCUACCAUCAGAAAACAGGCUGAAGAUUUCAUCGAGCAUGUGGGCGAUGAAGUAGAUGAGACAGUUGAAAAGGUUCAAGCCACUAAGGCGGAAGCCGAAGAGGCAGUCAAAGAAAAAGCCAAUACUAUUGGCGAAAAAGUCGGCUCUAAAUUUACCGAAGCCAAGGAGUCACUGGAAAGUGCGGCCAAAGGAGCGGGCGAAUCGGUUGAGACCAAAUUCGCUGGAGCCAAAGACACCGUAGAGUCGGCAGCCAUGAAAGCUGCCUCAGGGGCCAUGGGAGCCGUAGAGGCUGUUACUGAAAACGCUAAAAAAGCAGCCAAGGGUGCCAAGCAUACCAUGGAGAAUGUGGGUAACACGGCUGCAAAGGCCACAGAUGACGCCCGCCAAGCCCUGGAAACAAUGGGUAGCAAUGCUGCCAAGGCCACAGGCGAAGCCAAGGAUUCCAUGGGCAAUGCCCUGCGCAAAAUGGCCGGAGAUACUCGUCAUGCUGUGGGCGCUGUCACAUCGAAAAUCUCUCACGAAGUUCAAGAUGCUAAAAAUAGCCUGAGUUCCCUACUACAGGGCAAAAAACACAACAAAGUGGAUGUUGAAAUUGUGCCGCCCCCUGACAAUGGGCUAGACGCAAUCGAGGAACUCAAUGCGGAAAUCAGUGCCAAAGACAGUGGUGGCAGUAAAACACUUCCCACAUCCCAAUCAACCAACACACCUGGUGGCGCUCAAGAAGACGACGAACGAACCACAGCUUCAGUGAAUUCAGCACACACUUCGGCCGGCAAUCCCUUCGAAAAUAAUAAUCCCUUCGAGGGCAACAACCCCUUUGACCAGGAUGCCACAGUUCCAUUCGAUCCCGAACUAGAUGCCAUGAUCGAACGUAGUAAGAAGGCAUUCCAGGAGGAUAUGGAGGCCGCCAGUAUGGCCACAGAGAAUCGCCUGGGGCAUGUCGAGGAAGUGGUGGUUGAGGAAAAGAGUAAAUUUUCCAAAUUUUUCCAAGAUAUGCGAGAGAAAUCGAAGAAUUUAUCCUGUCGCAAUGAGAAAGCUGUACAAAUUAUCGAAGAUCAAUCCUAGAUGCGGAGAGAAUGAAUUGAUGGGGAACAAUUAAACUUCAUCUUCCUUAAGACAUGGAAACUAUGACUUUGUUUGGAUUGUGGAAUCAACCUCCGCCCCCUCGCUACUCUGAACAAGAUGAAUUGGCCCUGCAGCCGGCAAAUAUGCGCCCGGAAAAUGGCUCCAAAAUAUGCACCAUAUUAUAAUUGGGUUUUUAGCAAUAAAAAAAAACUAACUUCGU